rnacentral:rRNA from 1 species
UACGUAGGGGGCAAGCGUUAUCCGGAUUUACUGGGUGUAAAGGGAGCGUAGACGGCCAGACAAGUCUGAAGUGAAAAUCCAGCGCUUAACGUUGGAAGUGCUUUGGAAACUGCCGGGCUAGAGUGCAGGAGGGGCAGGCGGAAUUCCUAGUGUAGCGGUGAAAUGCGUAGAUAUUAGGAGGAACACCAGUGGCGAAGGCGGCCUGCUGGACUGCAACUGACGCUGAGGCUCGAAGGCGUGGGGAGCAAACAGG